rnacentral:rRNA from 2 species
UGGGGAAUAUUGCACAAUGGGCGCAAGCCUGAUGCAGCCAUGCCGCGUGUGUGAAGAAGGCCUUCGGGUUGUAAAGCACUUUCAGCGGGGAGGAAGGCGAUAAGGUUAAUAACCUUGUCGAUUGACGUUACCCGCAGAAGAAGCACCGGCUAACUCCGUGCCAGCAGCCGCGGUAAUACGGAGGGUGCAAGCGUUAAUCGGAAUUACUGGGCGUAAAGCGCACGCAGGCGGUCUGUCAAGUCGGAUGUGAAAUCCCCGGGCUUAACCUGGGAACUGCAUUCGAAACUGGCAGGCUAGAGUCUUGUAGAGGGGGGUAGAAUUCCAGGUGUAGCGGUGAAAUGCGUAGAGAUCUGGAGGAAUACCGGUGGCGAAGGCGGCCCCCUGGACAAAGACUGACGCUCAGGUGCGAAAGCGUGGGGAGCAAACAGG